CUCAUGAGAUACAAAGUUACUGCCUUGGCCAUACAGAGUGAGUGAGUUACUGGAAAUGCCAUAGUUGACUGCUCAAUAGCAGAUUUGUCUCCUGCCUAGCCUUUGUUUACAAUCAGGAAUUUCCACAUGGGUACUUAGUCUCUGGAAGUGGCGAUUCAAUAGUUCGCUUAUGGGAUUUUACAUCUGGAUUGCUUCUUCAUACAUGUGAAGUUGGAUCAGAGGUUGCCAGGAAUAUUGGUGUUGAGUUGCCAGGAAAACUCUCACAUGGACAUGGUUAGUUUCUGCAGCACAUCAAUUGGGUUGUGUAAUUUUUGCAGAACUUGUUGAUGCAUGACUAUGGACAAUUGACACCAAAUGUGGACUCUUUGCAUCUCAAGUCAAAUUCCAUGUCCCAUUGUUCUUGUGAGACCAAUUAGCUACUGUGUUAUCCUUUCUAACUGACUAAACAAUCUAUUUUCAAAGACUUCUUAAGAGAUCAAGAUCAUCACAAAGUUAAAACGAUGGUUUUGUUGUAUUAAAUGAAACCAUUGGGAUUUGACUACUUAUCUAAAACAAUGUAUCUUGAAGUUCGUAUAGUUCGUCUGCAACAAACAGCCAGGACAGACAUACGAAUGAAAGUGGAAAUCCCUCAAGAUACAAAGCAUGUGGAGCCGCUAGAUGAAGCUUGUAUAUGGCGCCAAACAAGAGGCACCGCCACUAAAACUUUAGGAGCCGAGAACAAAGCUGAAUCCACAGAGAAAGUUGAACUACAAUUUACAAAUCUGCCCUUCUGUUUUCUUGAAUAUUUUAUUAAUCCAAUAUUAUCAUAUCUGUGAAACUUAACAUCAGUUGGUCUUCCUCUUGGUGAUCCAUCAAUGAAGUGGCCAACUUGCAUCAUGUAAUAACAUUUUAGGCGAAGAUGUAGGUAUAUGUUUUUUUAAUGAAUAAUGUAAUCAUAUGUAUGAAUAUGAAAUAAAGUUUGUUAUUUAGUAUGUGAUAAUCAUGUAUAAGGAGAAAACAACUUCUAUUGAUUUGUUUUAUC